rnacentral:lncRNA from 1 species
AAGUUUUUAAGGAUUGAAAAGAGAGAUUUAAUGAGAGUUUAAGUUGGAGAUUUAAUGAUUUAAGUUAGAAAUUAAUGAGUUUAAAUUGGUUUUAGAAAGAAAAAAAAAAGGUUUGGUUGUUGUUCUGGUAAUGACGAGAGACAUGAGGAAGAAGAAAUUGGUUGAGUCUUUCUCCCCUGCCACGUGUCAGGAAGGGGGUGGUUGUUUUUAAAAAAUAAAAUACAAAAUAAAAAAGGAAAGAAGAAGAAGAA